CAGGUAGUGGAGAUAGAGGGAGGGAAGAUAAUGAGUUCCGUUUUAGAAAGAUUAAGUUUCAGGUAGUGUUGUGACAUCCAUGAAGAAAUAGCAGACAAGCAGCUGGUGAUCCGGGACAUGAGAGAUGGAGAGAGAUCAGGAGAAGAUAGGUAGAUUUGGGUAUCAUCUGCAUAUAGAUGAUACUGGAGGCCAAAUGAGUUGAUUAGUUUGCCAAGAGAGGAAGUAUAAAGAGAGAACAGCAGAGGGCCAAGGACUGAACCUUGGGGGACACCAACCGAAAGUGGAAGGGGCGAUGAUGUGUUGCCUGAGAAGUUGACAGAGAAGGAACGGUUAGACAGAUAUGAGGAGAUCCAGGAGAGAGCUGUAUCUCGAAUGCCCAUAGAAGCAAGUGAGUCAAGAAGAAGGUGGUGAUCAACAGUAUCGAAAGCAGCAGAGAGAUCCAGUAGUAUUAGAAUAGAGUAGUGACCUUUAGCUUUGGCAGAGAGCAAGUCAUUGGAGACUUUUGUUAGAGCUGUUUCAGUAGAGUGAAGGGGUUUGAAACCAGACUUUAGUGAGGCGAUUGUACACAAUCCGUUCAAGCAGCUUAGAGGUAAAAGGAAGCAGAGAGAUAGGGCGGUAGUUAGUCAAACAGACGGGGUCUGAGGAAGGAUUCUUUAGAAUUGGUGUGAUUAACGCAUGCUUGAAGGCAGAUGGUACAGAUCCAGAUGAUAGAGAAAGAUUAAAUAGGUGGGUAAGUGAUGGACCAAGGGAUGGACAUAGAGACUUUGUGAGGUGUGAAGGGAUAGGGUCAAGGGGACAGGUUGUUGGGUGAGAGGAAGAAAGAAGAGUGGCUAUCUCUUCUUCGGUUGUAGGGGAAAAGGCAGUUAGUAUAGUAGGAGUAGAGAGGGUGGUGGUGAGUGGUGUAGGAGGGAGUUGUAAGGAAGAGAGGUCUUUUCUAAUAGUCUCGAUCUUCUCUUUGAAGUGGGUAGCAAGAUCUUGGGCAGUGAGAGAGUUUUGUGGUGUGGGUGUGGAGGGACAGAGAAGGGAGUUGAAAGUAGAAAAAAGGCGUCGUGGGUUGGAAGAAAAAGAGGAUAUGAGAGUGGAGAAGUAGAGCUGUUUGGCGAGAGAGAGGGCAGAGUUGUAGGUGUGAAGCAUGAAUUUAUAAUGAGUAAAGUCUUCGCUGGAUUUUGAUUUUCUGAAGUAACGCUCAGCUGUGCGGCAGCACUUCUGAAGAUACCGUGUGGUUUUGGUAUGCCAUGGUUGGCGUUUAAAUUGUCGGGGGUAACUUGUAGUAAUUGGAGCUAUGGUGUCGAGGGAUGAAGCAAGUGUGUUGUUGUAAAAAGAGGCUGCUGUGUCUGGGCAGGAAAGGGUUAACAAGGAAGGUAAGAGAGGUUCGAGUGAGGCUGACAGUUGGGUAAUGGUAUUUUCUGGUAAUGGCCUACAAGUAUGAGGUGAGCGCUGUAAGUUUGUCUUGUUAGGGGUUAGCACUGGAGAAAAAGAUAGGAGGUGGUGGUCAGACAGAGGGAAGGGGUAGAUGGAGAAAUCUGAAAGGGAGCAUGAUCUGGAGAAAACCAGAUCAAGUGAGUGUCCCUCGGUGUGCGUAGGGGAAUUAGUCCAUUGAGAGAGACCAGAGGAAGAUGUCAGGGAGAGGAGUUUGGAGCUAGCAGAGUUGUUAGAUAUAUCUAAAGGGAUGUUAAAGUCACCCAGAAUAAGACAGGGGAUGUUAGGAGAGAGGAAGAAAGGGAGCCAGGCAGAAAGGUGGUCAAAGAACUGCGGGGUAGGACCUGGAGGGCGAUAUAUGACAGCAAUUUGAAGAGAGAGUGGAGAGAAAAGACGGAUUGUGUGAGCUACAAAGGAACAGAAUGAGAGGGAGGGAGGGCUUGGUAUAUUCUGGAAGGUGCAGUGAGGUGAGAGAAGGAUGCCUACACCACCACCCUUUCUGCCAUCAGGCCUAGGAGUGUGGCUGAAGUGUAGUCCUCCGAAGGAGAGUGCAGCAGAAGCAGUAGUGUCUUGGGAGGGGAUCCAGGUUUCAGUAAGAGCUAGGAGGUUAAAAGCAUGGGAUAGAAAAAGGUCAUGUAUACAAGCGAGUUUGUUGCAUACCGAGCGGGCAUUCCAUAGGGCACAGUUAAAGACGGGAGGGAGUUUAUGGUUGGAGAUGAUAGGAAUAAGAUUGGUUAGGUUGCGCAUGUUGAUUGAGUUUGCUGGUUGAGAAUGAUAGGAAUAGGACAGGAGUGGUAGAGCAAAUGCAGGUAGGUUUCACAUAUAAAGGUUGAGUGUAGAGGUACUGGGAUAGCUUUGACAGCAGAGAGAUUGGGAGGGAUAGGAUCUGGAAUGCUUUAAUGGGGAGUAGUGGGUAAUAAAGGGAUCCAGAGUUUGGUGCCCCCUACUGGCGUGAUCCAAUAGAUCCGG